AUUGAACGCUGGCGGCAUGCUUUACACAUGCAAGUCGAACGGCAGCACGGGGGCAACCCUGGUGGCGAGUGGCGAACGGGUGAGUAAUGCAUCGGAACGUACCCAGUCGUGGGGGAUAACGCAGCGAAAGUUGUGCUAAUACCGCAUACGACCUGAGGGUGAAAGCGGGGGACCGUAAGGCCUCGCGCGAUUGGAGCGGCCGAUGUCUGAUUAGCUAGUUGGUGGGGUAAAGGCCCACCAAGGCGACGAUCAGUAGCGGGUCUGAGAGGAUGAUCCGCCACACUGGGACUGAGACACGGCCCAGACUCCUACGGGAGGCAGCAGUGGGGAAUUUUGGACAAUGGGGGCAACCCUGAUCCAGCCAUGCCGCGUGCGGGAAGAAGGCCUCGGUUGUAA
rnacentral:rRNA from 1 species